rnacentral:rRNA from 1 species
GACGAACGCUGGCGGCGUGCUUAACACAUGCAAGUCGAACGGAAAGGCCCUGGUUUUGUGCGGUGCUCGAGUGGCGAACGGGGGAGUAACACGUGAGUAACCUGCCACUGACUUUGGGAUAACUUCAGGACACUGGGGCUAAUCCCGGAUAGGAGCUACCGGUGCGGGGUGAGGGUGGGAAGGAUUAGGUGGUUGGGGAUGGAAUGGCGGAUUAUCAGCAUGUUGGUGGGGUAGUGGCUUACCAAGGCUUUGACGGGUAGCCGGCCUGAGAGGGUGACCGGCCACAUGGGGACUGAGAUACGGCCCAGACUCCUACGGGAGGCAGCAGUGGGGAAUAUUGCACAAUGGGCGGAAGCCUGAUGCAGCAACGCCGCGUGCGGGAUGACGGCCUUCGGGUUGUAAACCGCUUUCGCCUGUGACGAAGCGUGAGUGACGGUAAUGGGUAAAGAAGCACCGGCUAACUACGUG